AAGGCCGCAAGACCCGCAAUACCAGUAGCAGCUCCUGCUCCUUCCGACGCAAUCCCCGUGCUCUGCCGCCUACCGACGCCACGCGCCGCCGCCUACCGACCCCCGCCCACCACGCGCUGCACAACUCCACCAUGCCACCAGCGCUGCCCGGCCACCGCAAGCACUACUUCACCGGCUCCAAUUCCUCCGCAAUGUCGUGCUCUGCCACAAAACCUUAGGAUAGGGUUUCCACUGGGAUUUGUCGUGGCCGCUCGUCGAUUCGCCAUCUUCGGUCGCAACGCCUCGGCUUCCUCAGCUCCGAUGGCUUCCUCGCCCGAGUAAUCCUCCGCCUGCAUCAAUCAAAUCACCAAGCUUAGUUGAUUGAUUCCAUAGGUGAUUGCGGCUGCUAAAGCGAGCUGAUGGAUGCGGCAGAGGGAUGCGAUCUGUUCGGCUGGCAUUCCUCCCAUAGGGAGGAGGAUGGGGAGGAGGACGGAGAGGAGGACACCGCAGGUGGAUCGGGCUGCACAGGAUUUGAUCAGCGACAGGGAUCCCAAAUUCGAUCUCACUCAACAGUUUAUGUAGGAAAUCAGAUGUCAACUCUACAAUAUGAGGCUGUGCCAAGAGAGCGGGUUAGUCAAGCAAGAGAGCAGCAAGCAGGUAUGCAAACAGGACUACAGGAUCCUUCAACUGCAGCAGCAAAGAGCAUGUCAAGAAUACAAUCAUUGUUGAGACGGAAGUCCCCAGGAAGGAAUUAGAUUGUGAGGUCCCCAUUACUGAACAGGCGGCUAAUGUCACCGAGUAUUGUUGUUAAACAAGGUUAGAUUUGACUUCACCAUCUCUACCAGCUGCAUUGUUUCAAGUUAAUAUGUUAGCUUGAUCUAUAAUUUCAGAUGUGUUACUUUUCUGAGUAUGUUAGCUUCAUGUUGUCCUAAUUAGUACCUGCAUACUUUUGGUGUAGAUGCAGCUAGAUCAACUAGAAAACGCAAACUUAGAUCUGCUGUUUGGAAAGAGUUUGAGCCAAUUUAUGAAGGAAACUUAAUUGUACAAGCUAAAUGCAUUCACUGCUUGGAUAUAUUUGCUGCUAAUCGAGAGAAUGGUAGAAGCGCCUGUCGUAGGCACUUGGAAGUGUGCAAAUUUAA